rnacentral:rRNA from 1 species
UACAGAGGGUGCGAGCGUUAAUCGGAAUUACUGGGCGUAAAGCGUGCGCAGGCGGUUGUGCAAGACCGAUGUGAAAUCCCCGGGCUUAACCUGGGAAUGGCGAUGGUGACUGCAAGGCUAGAGUUUGGCAGAGGGGGGUAGAAUUCCACGUGUAGCAGUGAAAUGCGUAGAGAUGUGGAGGAACACCGAUGGCGAAGGCAGCCCCCUGGGUCAAAACUGACGCUCAUGCACGAAAGCGUGGGGAGCAAACAGG